AGUGAACUAGCCAUAGUGCAGAACAACAGAGAGGAGGACACACGCGACCUGGAAUAUUAAGGAACUUCCAGGACUUUAAGUUUGGACACACUUUCAGAGCAAAGAACAGUCACCACUUUUGGCAUGAAUAAUAAUCAGGUCACACCUCCUCCAUCUUAUGAUAACAUUGGGUUUCGGCAUGACGAUGGAAGACCCCCUGCAUACAAUCAAAUUCAGAGUCUGUACCCCCCUAUCCCACACAGUACUGUCCCACACAGUACUGUCCCACACAGUACUGGCCCACACAGUACUGUCCCACACAGUACUGUCCCACACAGUACUCCACAGUAUGUCCCCUCCAUUCCUUACAUCAACACUCACCUGUCUACACCUGAUGUACUCCAGACACAAAAGAAAGGUACA
ensembl:lncRNA